GGGGUGGCAGCGCAGCGCGCGCAGAGAGAAGCACGAAACAGAGGCACCAGUGCCGUCCGGGAGCGGACCAUGCCACGCUCACCCAGGCUCUUCCUGCUGCUGCUUGUGCUGCAGCCGCUGCCAGCCCUGGGCCUCGGGCUCCGCAGCGCAGGCGGACGAAACCCGGAGUGCGGUCCGUGCCGACCAGAGCGCUGUCCCGAGCCCGUGCGCUGCCCGGUGCCUGGCAUCGUGGCGCGCGACGAGUGCGGCUGCUGCGCGCGCUGCCUGGGCGCCGAGGGCGCGAGCUGCGGGGGCCGGGCCGGCGCGCGUUGCGGCCCAGGGCUCGUGUGUGCGAGCCGCGCCGCGGGGGCCGCGCCCGAGGGCACCGGGCUCUGCGUGUGCGCGCAGCGCGGCUCGGUCUGCGGCUCCGACGGCCGGUCGUACCCCAGCGUUUGUGCGCUGCGCCUGCGCGCCCGCCAGGCGCCCCGCGCGCUCCCUGGCCACCUGCACAAGGCGCGCGACGGCCCCUGCGAAUUUGCUCCUGUGGUCAUCACCCCACCCCAGAGUGUUCACAAUGUCACCGGGGCACAGGUGUACCUGUCCUGUGAGGUGAGAGCUGUGCCCACCCCAGUUGUCACAUGGAGGAAGGUCACACGGUCUCCUGAGGGCACCCAGGUAAUGGAGGACCUGCCUGGGGACCACAUCAACAUAGCUGUCCAGGUGCAAGGGGGCCCUUCUGACCAUGAGGCCACGGCCUGGGUUUUGAUCAACCCUCUGAGGAAGGAAGAUGAGGGGGUGUACCAGUGCCAUUCAGCCAACGCAGUCGGGGAGGCCCAGUCGCAUGGCACGGUGACCGUGGUGGAUCGGAGUCAGUACAGAGCACCCCGCUUCCCAGCUCCAGAUGACCGCCUGUGAUGGGGGCACGUGCGUGUUUCGAGUCAUCUGAGUUUGUACACCUCUGUCACAAGAGGGUCUUAGAAACUUGAUCACAGGAUGACGGAAAAGUCAAGUCAUGGAUCAUUUCACUUUGUGAAGAAUUAGAAAAACUGUGUUUGUAGAUGACCCCUUUUGUAUGUUUUUAAACAUUAGAUGCAAACUAGAUUCGUAUGCAGAUGUAGUUUUUAGCAGGGCAAACACACCUUGGGAAAACAGACUGCAUGUAGCCUUUUUAUACUUGUGAAAUGAACAGCUCUGUGAGAAUUCUUUUUUAGCUUCUCCCUCCAAGGGAAGGUCACAUUUAAGUCCAUGUAAUUCUACAGGGCUGGGCCAAAGUGUGUGUCAGCUGUGACUCUGCCUCAUUUGUCCACGGUUGAUUAGUGGAGCUCUGUGACAGACAGUGUGUGUUUUAGGAUGGGGAAGGUCUUGCUGUCCUCUGCCUGACCUCUAACUUGCUGUGUGAUCUGGAUAGGUCCCUCCCUCUCUGGGCCUUGGUCUCUUCAGCUGUGAAUGUGCUAUUUGGACUGUAUGUAACCUAUGUCCUUUCAAACACUGCCAUCCUGGAGUAAGAUGGUCCUACAGAAAAAAUAUGAGAAGUGUAGUCUUAGCAUUCUUUUAAAAAUAUUCCCUCAAAAACAAAUAUAUUGCUUCACAUGAGGGUGUGGAGAGCUGGCUAUAGCUUAUCUAUUCCUGCUAUUUUCCCAUUUUAAAGAGAUUUAGUCCUAGAUGGAACACUUAACCAGGCUCAGAGGCUGGGUAUUUGGGGACUAAGAUAUCCACUUAUUAACAAGCCCAGCAUUCUCUAACCAAGCAGGCAGUGGAGACCUGGCUUUUGGACAUCAGAUUGUAAAAAAAGGAGUCAACUGCUCUCUCUGGACUGUAGAUUAGAGUGUAGUAAAGUAUAUUUUACUUAGAGAUGUUCUGAGGUCACCCAGAAACAAAACUUGCUUGUUUUUUUCUUAAGAAAGACGGAGAGUAAUAUCUGGCUAAAGAAAUAGAUCCCCUGGGUGACGAGUAAAAUUCUUUAAAAUCAAAAUUGAGAUCUCACAUGUGGAUAGCUGUUAAAUUUCACGAAACGCUUCUCUGUCUGUGGUUACUUUCCAUCUCUGGGAUGGCAGGUAGGAUGCGCACUAAUGUCCCUCCCCCUUUACAGAUGAAGAAACCAAGCUCUGAGAGUACAGUGCUUGCCUGAGGUCUGAAAGCCUCUGAGAAGGACUGGAGCUGAGGGCGCCUGGUCCUCUUUGGCACCCUUUCCACUCCAUGGUGCUACUUCUCAGAACAAUUUGUAUCCAUGAGAAGGAAGAUGCUGCCAGUUCCAUGGGUUUCAGGGAUUCUCCUCGGGGUCUGUCUCAACUUUUAAACCAACACUCUCAUGACGCUCACUUUGAGCAUUGCAUUUUGGAGUCUUUUUGGAAUUGCAUUUUCUUCCUUUAAGCCUGGCUAUUCCACAUCUGAACUGUUGGGGUGGCAUCACCCUAAUGAACACAGCAUAGGACUGUCCCGGGACUCCAGAAACAUGAGGUUCAUUUGGGAAUGCGUCCCUAUCUUUCUGGGUGACCCUGAGCAAGUCCCCUUCACUUUCUGGACCUCAGUUUCCUCAUGUGAAUAAGAAGGGAAUGAAACUAGAUCAGUGGUUUUCAAACUUUAAAACAUUGGAACCCCUUCUUUGAAUAAAGUCAGAACUGAAACUGA